rnacentral:rRNA from 1 species
UUAAGUCCCGCAACGAGCGCAACCCCUACUGCCAGUUACCAGCAAGUUAAGUUGGGGACUCUGGCGGAACUGCCGGUGACAAACCGGAGGAAGGUGGGGAUGACGUCAAGUCAUCAUGGCCCUUAUGUCCAGGGCUACACACGUGCUACAAUGGGCGGUACAAAGCGGAGCGAAGCCGCGAGGCACAAGCGAAUCGCUGAAAGCCGCCCGUAGUUCGGAUUGAAGUCUGAAACCCGACUUCAUGAAGUUGGAAUCGCUAGUAAUCGCGCAUCAGCAUGGCGCGGUGAAUACGUUCCCGGGCCUUGUACACACCGCCCGUCACACCAUCCGAGUUGGAGGUACCCGAAGCCGGUAGUCUAACCGCAAGGAGGACGCUGUCGAAGGUACGUUUAGUGAGGAGGGUGAAGUCGUAACAAGGUAGCCGUACUGGAAAGUGCGGCUGGAUCACCUCCUUU